UUUUUUUAUGUGCAAUGAAAUGUAGCGUGAAAUUUUCACUGUAGCACUAGAAAGGAUUAAACUUUAUACAUGUAAAGUAUUUCUUUGGUUGAAAUAAAGUGGCGAACAAAUAGAAAAAGUACAAUGAAAAUCAGUAGAAAGAAUGAUCUCAACUUCAAAACAUAACUUUGUAUUAUUUCAACAGCAGAUGGGUCGAUAUUUGGAUAAAUUGACUAUAUAACCAAAUUUUACUAAAAGCAACGAAUGAAUCCACUUUAUUCCAAAUCUACCGGAGUUCUUUAGGAGAAAGUGUUGACAUUGGAAUCAAGUACUGUGAGGAAAUAGGAGUAAAUUA